rnacentral:misc_RNA from 1 species
CGCACAUUGCGCCCAUUAGUAUUCUAGUGGGCAUGCCUAUUCGAGCGUCAUUUCGACCCUUAAGCCCUCGUUGCUUAGCGUUGGGAGUUUACGCCCGCGGCGUAACUCCUGAAAAUCAGUGGCAGAGCUAGGGCGUGCUCUGGGCGUAGUAGUUUUACCUCUCGCCUCCGGUGCGCUCCUAGCCCUCGUACUCAAAAAAGUUUCCUUCUCAGUAGUUGACCUCGGAUUAGGUAGGAAUACCCGCUGAACUUAA